GGGGAAUGAGCUUCCCAAAGUCAAUGCAGGGGAAAAUAGCCUCAGAGGAGGGCACAGCAGAUCAGAGUGUGUGGCCAGCAUGACCGCGAGCUAGCCUGGAGACGGUCUACACCCUGCCAGCUGAGCGUCAAGAAUCCAACUGCAGUCCUCUCGUCCAUAUGUUUCCGCCCUGAUUACCACAGCGAUGUGAAGCAUCGACCUUCAUGUGGAGUCAACUUUUUGGGGGGUUUGUUUAGUGAAAAUGUUUCCCUCACAGAACAAGGUCAAUAGCAUUUGCAAGUGAAAUAAGAUUUUGAGUGAACAGCUGUGCCCUCCAUUUACACACAAUACAAUGAAGACUAUGUUUACAUUUACAUAUAAUAGUAUAACCAUACGACCUCUAGAAAAGCUCUGAUAUACUACCUGCCAGGCAAAAGAUAGCAGACAAAGUUCGUGACUAGCUGGUGAACAUGGAAUUAGCGGACAUCAAAUCAAAGCUAAAAUGAGAGGAGAUAUUGAAACAUCACUCCAGGUGAAUGAUUAUGUUGCUCCAUGAGUACAUUGGAUAAUUAUUUGUAAGAAUGUUUUCCAUUAACGUGACAUAAUGGCAGUGUCAGUGUUGUGUUCAGGUAGUUUCACUGCCCCCAACUGGCCUGAAAAUGAAUUACUGCAGAUUUGAGCUCAAACUGGAUUUAUUUAGGUUUUACUUAUUAAGGCUUUGUUCCAGAAACUGAGUGCAUAAUUUUGUUUCCUUUCAUGUACCAACGUGAUCUGGAAAUGACAAUAACAUUUCUUGAUUCCUGAUUUUUUUUAUUAUUAUCAUUAUUAAUAUGACCCUGCUAUGUAUCAUCAACAUUCAUUUAUUAUUAUUAUUAUUAUUAUAUUCUACAACAUCAUUACAUCUAUACGUGUCACGAUUAUUAUUGUCCAACAACUGUUCUGGGUCUCUCUCUCUUCCACCUCUCCUCUCAUUUCGCCCCCAUUUCUCUCCUCUCACCCCAACCGGUCGCAGCAGAUGUUCCGCCCUGAGUCUGGUUCUGCAAGAGAUUUCCAGAAUUUUAUUCUUAAAAGGGAGUUUUUUUCUCUCCACGAUCGCCAAGUGCUUGCUCAUCUCGGGAACUGUUGGGUUUCUCUGUGAUGUUGUGAGGUCUCGACAUCGCUUUGUAAAUGGCCUUGAUAUAAUGUAUGUUGUAAUUUGUCGCAAUACCAAUAAAAUUGAUUUAUAUAUGCA